UGGGGAAUAUUGGGCAAUGGGCGAAAGCCUGACCCAGCCACGCCGCGUGAGUGAUGAAGGCCUUCGGGUCGUAAAGCUCUGUGGGGAGGGACGAACAAGUGCGUACCUAACACGUACGUGCCCUGACGGUACCUCCUUAGCAAGCACCGGCUAACCAUGUG
rnacentral:rRNA from 1 species